GGUGUCGAUGCAAGCCAAGGAGCCAAGAAGGGUUCCUCAUGGUGAUGAAAUGUUAAAGAAUUGAAGCAAAAUCCAGCCUUAAUUCUCUUGCAUGUGUAGAGAUUCUACAUCAAUAAGCUAUGAAACAAGUGGAUCAUGUCAAGGUGGGGGAAAGCAUAGAAGGCUAAUGGAAAGGAUAUGAGGAAGCAUGUACGAAACGGGCACUUGAGGUACGCUAACAUAGAGAAAGAGUGUUGAUGUCUGGAUGUAAUGCAUGAAUGAGGAAGGAUAAUAGAAUGAAACAUCUUAUGUCGUCUGAAGCACGAUAUGUUCCUUUAGUUUCGUGUUUAUAGUAUAUGUAAGAUGUCACCAUAUACUAAUGUUUGAAUUGUUUAUGAUGACCGCAAGUCACUUAAACCAUUGUUAUUAUCGAAGGAUAAACGGUGGAGAUCGAGCUAAAGAGCUUGGACUAUACGGAAAGAGGUUAUCACCUUGACAUAUUUGAAUGAUUUAAUCACUAUGUCAAUUACGUAUGAAUGAUGUAACUUCUUUUAAAGAAG